rnacentral:rRNA from 1 species
UAAGCCAUGCAUGUCUAAGUAUAAUAGGAUACUGUGAAACUGCGAAUGGCUCAUUAAAACAGUUAUAGUUUACUUGACGAACUUCUAAAUGGAUAACCGUAGUAAGACCAGAGCUAAUACAUGCACCGGUGGCUGUCAAAGGCCCGCAUUUAUUAGAUAAAACCAUCUGUGGUGAAUCAUAAUAACUGAACGAAUCGCUCGGCGUAUGCCGCGAUGCGUCAUUCAAGUUUCUGCCCUAUCAGCUUUCGAUGGUAGUGUAUUGGACUACCAUGGCGUUAACGGGUAACGGAGAAUUAGGGUUCGAUUCCGGAGAGGGAGCCUGAGAAAUGGCUACCACAUCUAAGGAAGGCAGCAGGCGCGCAAAUUACCCAAUCCUGACACAGGGAGGCAGCGACAAGAUAUAACAACGUAGGCACUCUGUGCUUGCGGUUGUAAUGAAUCGGGCGUAAAAACCCCGGUGAAUUCCAUUGGAGGGCAAGUCUGGU